rnacentral:rRNA from 1 species
UACGUAGGGGGCAAGCGUUGUCCGGAAUUAUUGGGCGUAAAGCGCGUGUAGGCGGCCCGAUAAGUCUGCCGUGAAAGUCCAGGGCUCAACCCUGGGAUGCCGGUGGAAACUGUCGGGCUAGAGUCCGGAAGAGGCGAGUGGAAUUCCUGGUGUAGCGGUGAAAUGCGCAGAUAUCAGGAGGAACACCUAUGGCGAAGGCAGCUCGCUGGGACGGUACUGACGCUGAGACGCGAAAGCGUGGGGAGCAAACAGG